CGAGUCAGCCAGACGAUCGCGCGGGCCGCGGCGCAAGCCGCGCGUCCGUGAGGAAAGUCCGAGCUCCACGACGCAGGGUAGCGGGUAACUCCCGUCCGCCGCGAGGCGAGGAACAGCGCCACAGAGACGAGCCCGGUUCGCCGGGGUGAAACGAGGCAAGCUCUACCCGGAGCAAGGCCGAAUAGGAGGGCGAGGCCGCGGUUCGCCGCGGUGACAGGUGCGUCGCCGAGCCCUCGGGUUGGCCGCAUGAGCCGUCGGGCGACCGGCGGCCCCAGACGGAUGAUCGUCGCCGCGGUUUCGGCCGCGGAACAGAACUCGGCUUACCGGCUGACUCGCCGC
rnacentral:RNase_P_RNA from 1 species